UGGAUUUCACAUCCUUUUCUAGCCGUGUGGAUGUGAACUCACAGCCCAGGGGAUCUGAGAGCUGCCCUGAGCUUCAGGGCAUGUCCCCUGCUCCCUCAGCAGUGCCGGAGCAGGGAAAUAUGCUCUUGGACCAGGCGCGCCUUGUGACUCCCAGGGUUUACUUGGGCACAUCUGGACCAUCAGUCUCAAAGGCUGUACACUUGCUUGCUCAGACAAAGCAACAAAACUGUGAUGUAAAGGUAGAAGAUCCCCCAGCACAGGAACUGCAAGGGAUAUUUUGUUCAUGCUAGCAGUAAUACUAAGAACAAGUGAAAUUCCGACCUUUGCCUAACAGGAGUGCCAACGAGCUGCUCACAGCAGAAGGGUGUCCCUUAGCUUAAAAGUAGACUCUGGGAUGUUAGAUGUUGAGUUGGUGUUGUUCAGAACAAGUCACAGUCAAACUGCAGCUCAAAACCAAAAGGACAAGGCAGCAGGCUCCGUUUGGUAAGCAUGGAUCUUUGAGCACAGUGCUGGACUCUUUCUGCAAAUGGUUAAAUGAUCCCUCUGUUAACUAAUGUGACCUUCGCUCUGUGGAUUACUUCAAUUUAGAAAGUUAGGGACACAUGGAGGAAGCAGUGAAAAUUUUCCAGGAAAGGGUACUUCUGGUGUGGUGAUUUACAGGCACUGUGCUUGAAAAUAUCCUUAACAGGACACUCUGAAAACCGUGCCAGGACUGAAGUGGUGCAUGAAGAGACUUCAAGAGCAAAAUUCCCUGUUCACAGAUAGACCUCUGCUGAUGAUGUCAGGAUUUUUCAGUGCAAAUGUUACUGUCAGUAGAGAAUCUUCUCCAGAAAAAACCAUCAGUAAUGAGCAUUUAUUUUCAUUAUUUCAUCACCUAAAAAUGUCAGCAGUGUUUUCUAUACCAUCUCUCUUUGUCAAGACAUAUCUGCUCUGUAGGGAGAGCAGUGAAAACACUUCACACCAAGUAAAUGUUCAUAUGUGUGACCAUACAUGUCAUUACACUUUAUUAUAACAAUUAUCUUCAAAGAUAGCAUAAAAUAUCGAAUAGGGUGGUUAGAAAAUAGUAUGUCACUCCUGAUUUGCCUCUGCUCGUGGACAAAAGGGUGGGUUUUCUUAUUUUCUCCAUUGGACUCCAGCCUAAAAUGAAACAGUGCUAGAACAGAGGUCAAGAACUUGGAAGAAUUUGUUCAAGGGGAACCAGGUACAGCUUGAUUCAAUAUCAAUAUUUCAUAUGUUCUGAGAUUGUGGUUCAAACGACAAGAUAGCGGAACACCCUUUUUAUAGCUUUCCAUCUGUGAGAAGUUAUUUCUCAAAGCACUCUGUAUGAACAAUCUAACAGAUAUUCAUUUUUGAGAUCAUAUAUUCUGCUAAGUAGGAUCUUUUGAUGCACAGUCUGGCUGUGAUACUAAUUCUAAAACGAGAGAAGCCAGAUUCAUAAAAAUGAAUGUCUUCCACACAAAGUUAUGUUCCGUGAUGUAUUAACUCCUCCUUUCCCAAGCAUUUGAAGGAAAGUAAUGUUCUCAAUAUCAAUUACUUGUGAAUC